rnacentral:rRNA from 1 species
AGGGCACCACCAGGCGUGGAGCCUGCGGCUUAAUUUGACUCAACACGGGGAAACUCACCAGGUCCAGACACAAUAAGGAUUGACAGAUUGAGAGCUCUUUCUUGAUUUUGUGGGUGGUGGUGCAUGGCCGUUCUUAGUUGGUGGAGUGAUUUGUCUGCUUAAUUGCGAUAACGAACGAGACCUUAACCUGCUAAAUAGCCAGGCCCGCUUUGGCGGGUCGCCGGCUUCUUAGAGGGACUAUCGGCUCAAGCCGAUGGAAGUUUGAGGCA